ACUGAAUCAUGAAUCACUUUUGAAUUCUGAAUUUCCUUUCGCCAUCUUUAUCCCCUUCACCAACGUCUCAUUGAUUGCCACAAACAAAAGUAAUUACUGUUUCUGUCGACCAAUCAUCCAACGCUAAGUCGGAUUGGCUAGUUUUAGACGAUUCGCAACUUGACAAAAAACGUCAUGUUGAAUAGAAAAUUGUUUUGGAAUUGCAUAAGAGGUGACAGAUGGC
ensembl:ncRNA W01C8.11 ncRNA